GGGACAUGGAGCAUAUGAGGGAGAGAGACGAGUGGAAGCCGCGCACGAGCCGGGGAUUCGCCUCUCCGUCCACAUCGACUAAAUAUUUGAUAGGAGGAGGCGGCGGCUGAGAAAAGGGGAGCUGAGCGGCGGACCUGUUCGUGAAGGUGUGGCUGCUUAUGAAAGCUGACAGGGAACCCGGCGCAGGGUGCGAACGCUGAUCCAAAGUGGGCCGGACAAAUGUCUGCACACACACCAGCGUUCUGUCGCCGGCCGCCCGCGGAGAUGUCAAACACAAUGAUGUGGUGAGAGGCUGCGGGAGGGCUCGCCGCUCGCUACUACUAGGAAGUCAUGACACACACAAAAGACACAGGCGAGGACGCGGAUUCAUACACGGGGAUACGCGGAGCUCCGCCGCCGCCACAAACACGCCCAAAGGAAAUAACAACAAAGCAGUCCCGGCAACUUAAUCCAGGUUCUGACUGGAACGGUCUGCUUUAGCAAACGUAGCGUUGGCACCAUUCAUCUCGCUCCAUUGUCUAAUUUCAACAACUCAAUAAUUGUGUUACCCAUGUCAGGCCCCCGGAGCCAGGACAAUCCUGCAAAUCGUUUCAAAGUGCCCCAAAUUCAUUAAUUAAAGAGUGUGUUAAUCUCAUUGAGAUGGGAGGGAAUGGAGAAAGGGAAGGGCCCUCGUAACUCAUCCAAUUAAGUAAUUGAGUGUUACUCGGAUUACGGGAAAUGAAAGGAGGAGCCCCACUGAGACUGAGGAGUCCUGAUUCCAUGCUAGGAACAUGCUACAUAUGUACUCGCCCAGAGGUUGGAAAUAAAUAUGUGCCUAACCUGA